CGCCGCCGCACGCCCAUUUAUCGGGCAGCACCGGAGCUGCUCUACUGCACUGAUGUGCUGCCCCUAAUCUCUCGUACAGCUCGGGUUUCGAGGCGGAGGCGGAGGGGGAGGAGGCGCAGGCGCUGCAGCUCGCGGACAAGUCGAGGAACUGCCCACGGCGCGAGCGGCGAGACUAAGGUAUGUCAUGUGCCAUUUCUGCUCAGGUCCUCAGGCUCCAACUUGUGUGCCAUCGCAUGUAGUGCUGUGUUAGUUGAAAAACUCCGCAGAUGCUCGGAUGGUUUGGUAGAACAAACCAGUACUUUAGAUUUGAAUCCACAUGCUCCCAAGAGAGAAUGGGGAAUAAAAGGACGAAUCCUUAGGCGGCAGUGUGUAAGCAGACCACUUGUCUUAGGAUUGCUGUGGACUUGAUGUACGGGCACUAAUUAAUGGGCCACCGAGUUCUCAAAUGGAAGGGGUUAGGUCUUGAUGUACGAGCAGCUUCAUGCUUGAACACUAUUACCGGUAGAAACGAGCAAUAUUAGAAUCUGAAAGUCAUACAAUUACUAAAUUCCAGUUUACGGACGAUCAAUGAACGCAGUUAAGCAAAUUACCAAACAUUAUCUAAGAGGAUCCAACAAUAAACACAGUAGGCGUCUCCCUUUCACCGUCCAGAAAAGAGGCUCGUUUGUGAAAUCCCAUUGGUAUAGCCAGACUGGAAGGAUAUCCCCUCGUUUCUUGCUCUUGAAAUCAUCAGCCGGAACUGCCUUGGAAUUUCAGUAUCCAUGGAGUCCGUGUGUCGAGGGGCCCCAGAAACAGCUGGCAACCACACUUUGAGCCUUGAAGCAACCUCGGUCAUGGUCGGCCUGUUGAUGGCUGCGUUUUCGAGGCAGUUCAUGGCCAGGUCCACUACACUCUGCAGGGAACUGGCAUCGUACAGAUCCAGCAGUUUCUUGUCUGCAACAUUGUGAAUGCUGCCGUUAGCUAUCUUUUGCCGCACCCAAUUUGGGAGGUGGACAGUUUGAGGGUCCAUAACUACUGGGGAUUGGCCGGUGAUGAUCUCCAAGAGCACGAUGCCGAAGCUGUAAACAUCUGUCUUGACAGUGAGUUGGUAAGUUGCAUGGUACUCAGGGUCGAGGUAGCCAAGAGUGCCAGCAGCAGCAGUAGAUAUGUGUGUGUGAGCAUCAUUAAAAGCCCGCGAAAGCCCAAAAUCAGAUAUUACCCCCACCAGAUUAUUGUCCAGAAGGAUGUUUGGGGUCUUCACAUCUCUGUGCACUAUUGAUGGGGUGCAUAACUCAUGUAAAUACUCAAGGCCUGUUGUUUAUCAAAACUCGUAGUUUGUCAACACACACAUACAUCACCUCAAAAGAAAGAAAACUCACACAUACAUACAUACAUGGCCUAAAGGCAAACACACAACUGAAGUACGGACCUUGUGCAGCAUCAAGUGCAAUAUGAAGCCGUUGUUCCCAAUUCAAACUAUAGUCAUCUCCUGCAUCAAUACAUACAAAAUUAAUGUAAGUGCCAUUUGAUAUGUGCAUAAUAGCAUAAAUACCAGUUUUCCUAACACUUGCACAUAUUAUUUUAGAUCGACUCCAUUUAAGCUAACAAAUGAUGGAUAAACACACAAUGGUUAACCAUAUCAUCAUUGGCGUUUUAAGAUCUGAGUCCUGCAUAAACAGGCACUUUGAUCUUCCAGAGGUCACUGCUUUUCUGUUGUGAAGCUUGAUCCACAACGUGGUAAUUAUCGUGUUGAAGAUAGCCAGACAGCAUUGCUGUGAGGGAUUGGUAGGCAUAGAUUUAGAUAAGAGAAUAACUUGGGAGAAUAGAUUGAUUGUUCUUGCCUCCUUCCCAAACCUUUCAUGACAUGCACAUAUAUGAUACUCCCUCUGUAAACAAAUAUAAGAGCGUUUAGAUCACUAAAAUAGUGAUCUAAACGCCUUUACAUUUCUUUACGGAGGGAGUACCUCCUAACUUGACAGUUGACACCCAUGGGGUUGCACUCUAACUAGGAAACCCUCUGAUAUGAGCAUCUCAAUUCAUACUUUCCUAAUCCUUGCUGUUCCAAAUUAGUCUUCCUAAUUCUACCUGUAACUCAGUUUAAGUUGUCUCCUUCCUGAACUCUUCCCUAGCCGACUCCUUCCUUGAAUCUUAUUGGGGUCUCUUUCCUGUACAGAACUCACCUACCCUUGCUGGCCGGCUGGGAAGCUGCAAUGCAUCCGAUUCUGCUUUGCGGCAAUGCACUAAUGUCCACAACAUUUUCAUUUGCUUUACCAGCGCAUGUUUUUAUAUACAAAUCCUGAAAUCCAGUUAACAAUAGAACGAAGCUAUUGAAGCAUUCUUUGAAUACAUAUCUCUCUAGUGCUUUGUUUCUUACUGGCUUUUCAAAGAUGUGCAUGUUUAUAUUUUGUGACUAUCAUGCCAUGCUUUUGAAAAAGAAUUUUAC
rnacentral:lncRNA from 1 species